AACUCUGCCAAGAAACUGCAGCUUUACGUUUCAUCCUAUGUACCCAGAUGCUGCUCCGGCUGUUCCACUUUCGGACCUCACUGAGAGAGAAUGUGCUUUUUCCUCCAUCUUUGUCCCGCAUUUGAGGUGCAAAAAAGGCGGGUCUUGCCCCAGCCACUGCUAUCCUUGGAAAAUUAAGAGAACCACUGAGGGAUAAGGAUGCAGUCUCCGCCCUUGGAGUCGAAAAAGUAGACAAGAAGACAUCCCUCGCACUAGUUUUUUUGCUUUCUGCACCCUUUGCAGCAGAUAGACUCUUCAACCCAGGAGACAUUCCAGUUUGAUGGCCAACCACUGCACAAGCAGCAGCUGGUCCAGGCGAGGAGUAUACUACCUUUCUUUGAUCACCUUCCCUAGAUAGGGAGGAGAGUGAAAAUAGGCCACGCAUAGUGGUUGUGGUGGGUUCAAGAAUCUUCUGUGAUGGAACAAAUUCUUCUACUGCCCUGAAUUUCUUCCGGAAGUGAAGGGGUCCACCCUCAACCCAUCGUACAAGAGCUAUCCGAGAGGAGCGAUUAGGGUCAUACUCUAUCCUUUCCACAACGCCCAUAGAUGAUGUGCUUCUUUUCAGAUCAAUUCUUCUAUGCAAACGCUUUG
rnacentral:misc_RNA from 1 species